GGUGAGGUGCUGGAGCGGCCGAACAGGUCGGUCUUGAAAACCGAUGUAGUCAUUUUUGGCUACCGUGGGUUCGAAUCCCACCCUCACCG
rnacentral:tRNA from 1 species